AUUAACUUUUGACCUUUACUCUCUGCUUCCUUAUCAAUCGUUUUUCAGUUAGAUAUCGUUGAUAUACAGGGUCCCAUCAUUUUAAAAAUAGGAUUCUUGGUGUGUUGGACGCAUUUCACUUCGUUUGUUUCACAUUUUUUUAGUCCAGAGAUAAAAAAUCUGAUGAUAGUCGUGCGGUGCGGCCUCAAUUACUCCAUAAGAAUGAAUCAUACUCCAAAAUAUCAUUCACCUUAGAUAACUGUUGGCUGAUUAAAUGCAUGUCAUGCGUGCACUGCAUGCUUCUUAGACAACAGUGUAAUAAGUUGUAUACAGGGUGUCUAUUAUUUCAUGGAGCUUUUUUUAAAACAACUGCAAACUGUAAACAAUCGAAGGCAAGAUGACAGUCUGUGUUUUAUGAAGUAGGGAUAAGAAACUUUCUUCCCAUCAGUAUUGUAGAUAUGAUUGGUUGAGUUUUUGGGAGACUACCACAGAUAGAAAAUGAAGGCGCUGAAUUCUAUUUUGCACUAACUGAAGCUCGAAUUUUUCCAGAAAAAUUUGCUAUAUCCAAUUUUUUGCAAACUUAUUAAUGAUAAUGCAAAAAACAAGGACAGUUACAGUCAUUUCGAACUUUUCCAUAUCAGCGAAUAGGUGAAGGUAGCAGGAAUUUUUGUCUUCUAAUGAAAAUUGAUAUAUUAUCCCGUUAAGCACUUGUUUUGUGCUACCAGAAGGUUUUUGGGUAUUUUCUGUAAUAGGAAAGUUAAUUUUCACUCUGUAUAAUAUGGUAUGGUUCAAGUUUUAGGAGUAAGAGACCGCAAAGGGACUGCGUAAACCCCACACCUUUAAUUUUAAAUAUAGGCGCUAUGUUUUCCUUCAUUAGAAGCACAUGUGAAUAAAAUUUGAAGAAAGUAUCUCCAAAAAUAAGAAAGUUAUUUCUCGGUAAUGUAUUUUCUGAAAAUAUUUCAGUGGUAUUUUGGGUCUUACUGGUUUUAGCCCAUUUUUCAAGAAUGAAAAUAUUUAACGCAUUUUUCAAAAGUGAAAAUGGGCUUGGGUUUGUCCGUUCCGUUUGUUCCUAUCAAGGAACCCGAAAGUUACAAAUGUAUCGAGAAAAAAUUUUUCCCAACUGGUUGAUUGAGCACAAACUUCAUUUAUGCACCAAUUUCGUUGGGAAAAUGGCCAUGAAGAAGAUCUUAAAUACUUCCAUCUUCCUGAUGAUGAGAUAAAGUAUAUACAAAAACGCUAAGCGUCGUUAUCAGUCGAUCGCUAGCAUUCUCUAUGACUUGUACCUUAGUAGUUUUUAUUCUGUAAUAUAAAAAGUUGUUAUUAGGACAUUGUUUUUGUUGUUGAUUUUUGUUUGUUUUGUGAAAUAGAUUAAAUAAUCAUUUUAAGCUUUGUGACAACUUCAAUGACUGAGUAGAGUAUGAUUAUUCUCAGAGGUGACCUCUCUUCAGUUCCCUGUAUCUUAGGCCUAUGGUAUCCUGUAGUUUUAUUUGUACUCCUUUAAGAUAUCAAUAUUUUGAAAGAAAUUUAUUAUCCUGAGAUCAGCACUUGGAGCAUUUCUGGGUGCAUCUUCUAUAAAAGAUAUCUGUCUAACUUUUUCGGGCUAGUCAGUCAGCCUUAAUGGCAGUAGGUACUAGGGAAUGCAAACCCGCAGCAAAAUUUAGAUUUCGGUAUUUGCGGGAUCAUUAGAUAGUUCUCUAUUGGGUUUAAUUCUAAGUUCUCUUUUUGAAUAUUUACAUACAGUACACUUUUAUUUUCAUAUAUGUACACUGCAUUUAUUUAGUAUACAAGUAUAUUGUCCUGUUAUUGGAAAAUAUUCUGUUGAACAAUAAAUUAUUAUUAUUAUUA